AAAAGAUUUUGUGUACAUAGGCCCAAAGACCAUCUCAGAAAUCAUCGCCAUGAAACUCGGCAUCCAGAAAUUCCACAUCGGUCGCAUCAUCUUCUUCACUGCAAACAUAGCAAUUCCUUGUCCUCCUGGUGCUCCUUACGUCCAUAUAUUUAGCAAAAUGCUAAUCCGAAUGACCGAGGGAGGUUUGAUCCUCAAAUGGAAGCAGGACGAGAUCAGGAAAAUUCCACAGACGCCCUCCGGAGGGGAUCCCUCGAUGACAUCUGCCAUUUCCUUAACUCAUUUACAGGCAGCAUUCCUCAUCAUUUUCAUUGGUUAUUUGCUGGCACUUGGCACUAUACUUCUGGAGUGCCUCUGGUGGCGAUGCAACUGUUUCGGUCCUUUUCACGGCGGAAAAUGAGGACCUGGGAACUAUGUGACGUCCCGUCGAAGAAAAUGUUUAAGACCUAAGUAUACUCUUUUGGACUGAGUGCUAAUUGAAACAAUGA